GUGCUCCCUUCAGCAGCACAUAUACUAAAACUGAACGGUACAGAGAAGAUUUGCAUGGCCCCUGUGCAAGGAUGACACGCAAAUUCGUGAAGUGUUCCAUAUUUUU
ensembl:snRNA U6 U6 spliceosomal RNA